rnacentral:rRNA from 1 species
GUAUAAAAUUUGGUGAUUUACAAUAACUUAGCAAAUCGCAUAGUGAAAACUGGCGAUAAAUCAUUCAAGUUUCUGACCUAUCAGCUUUCGACGGUAUGGUAUUGGCUUACCGUGGCAGUGACGGUUAACGGGGGAUUAGGGUUCGAUUCCGGAGAGGGAGCCUGAGAAACGGCUACCACAUCUAAGGAAGGCAGCAGGCGCGCAAAUUACCCAAUUCUAACAGCAUGAGAGAGGUAGUGACAAGAAAUAACAAUACAAGGCAGUUAAAAUGCUUUGUAAUUGGAAUGAUAGAAAUUUAAACACUUUUUAAAGUAUCAAUUGGAGGGCAAGUCUGGUGCCAGCAGCCGCGGUAAUUCCAGCUUCAAUAGCGUAUAUUAAAAUUGUUGCAGUUAAAAAGCUCGUAGUUGAAUUUCUGUUAAAAAUAACCGGUCUGCUUUUUUAAUAAAAGCGGUAUCUUGGUGUGUUUUUAGCAAUAAUGUCCUUUGAAAUGUUUUUUACUUUAUUGUAAUAGAUUAUAUUC